GAGUGCAGCCGGGGCCGGGGGUGGGGGCCGGCGGGGCCGGCUUCCCGGACAGCUGCGCCCCACCCUUCCCCGCGGCGGCCGAGGGUAGUCAUUGCUCCGGAAUUAGCCCUGGCUCUGGGACCGGGGACUCCUCGGGCCGUUCUGACACAGCAGUUUCCGAGCCGCCCUCCCGGGCGCGGGUUAGAGGAAGGUCGAGGGCAGCCGGGGGCGCGCCGGGGCCCGGACGUGAGGGGGAACCCCCGGUGUGGGGGGGUGGGCGUCAGGAGAAAGUGCUAGGGCGGUGUCCUUGGCAGGCGCGUGGCCGCUCGCUCCGGGUGCUGCAGAUCGAAUCGCGGCGACGGCAGCGCCGGGGGAGUUGGCUCGUUGUGAGCAGGUGCGCCGGGACUUUGCCGCCGGGGCGUGAGGUAAAAGCAGGGAGUGGAUGGCGCUCAGGGGUUGUGCGCGAUUUGGAACGAUGUCGGGGGGCAAGGGGACGGCUCUUGAAGAAUUACGGUUUAAUAAGCUGUUCUCAGACCCCUUCUCUUAGCGAAAGUGAGCGUGGCUCACGCUUGGAUUUUUAGGUCUGGUUUCACACUUCCCGACACGUGCCUGUGGAUCCGGGGCCUCCAGUGAGUACCGGGUUUGCAGGAAUCUGGAGUUGCCCGUGUUGGAGGUGUGCGUGUGUGUGGGGGGGUGUUGCACAAGUAGGGACGCUCCCCUCCCCCGCGAGCCUGGUUUGGGUCACGGGGUGGAAAGGGCUCCCAGGGCCUGGCAUCGCGCUGGGACAGGUCAGGUGCUGGUGUUUGCUGCGGAGUUGCCGAAUGGCUCUACGCUCUCCGGCCUGAAGGGUCGGGGAGCGCUGAGCUCCGGCCGCUUGCUUUGCAGUGACGUGUCUACGCGGUGCCCCACCGCUCCCGUGUCUCAGUGUUGGCACGGGACAGCCUGGUUGUUCAUACAAUUUUGAAAGUUGAAAAGGCGAAGAGAAACGUCAAGCAUUCACUCAGCAAGUACAUACGGGGCUUUUGUCAGGUGCCAGACAUUGGGGAAGAUUGAGCGGUCCAUCACCUCGGGAGCGUAGCUGCUGGGCCUGAUUUAUUUAUGACACCUGGGACCCACUCCCUCUCUGGGAGGUUUCCUCGGCUUCCAAACCUUGAGGAAAGCAGGUCCUCUCCAGUUCCAUCAGUCCUCUCCUGCCCUGUCCCCCCCCAUUCCUCCACUCCUUUAGAACCAUAAUAGACCACCCCCCUCCCGCCCCCCAUGUUCCAACAGGACAGGUUGGAUCCUUCCUUGGAGUGCUUGCGCUCUGCCUGCCACACUCAGAUCUCCAGGUAUCUGGAGAGCUAAUUUGACACCAGCUCACGGGCAGGGCAUAAACUACCUCCCCUCCACCAACAUCAUUAUCUUUGCUGGUCUUCUUCCUAGCAGGUGUCACGCCCGCUCUUACGUGUGAGUACUGACACAUAGGCUUGGCACACAUCCACAUGUGGUCCAUUGCUCUUGGUGCACCGUCCCUUAACAGCAGAGUUAAUAACAGUUUCUCCCUAGGCCAGGUGGUUUUGUGUGCUCUGCUAAACGCGGAUGGUUCAGGGGUGGGCAUUUGGCGCCUCAGUGAAGAUGGCGGUUCAGAAGCUCAUGUUCUGCAUCAGAGUGCCUGUUUGCAGUGCUGGCUCCCGACGCUUGGUUUCUGCUGAUGCACACCCUGUAAGAAAGCAAUGUUGGCUCAAGGAGUUGGGUUUCUGCCCCCCAUGUGGGAGGCCUGAAUUGAGUUCGAGGUUCCCAGCUUUGUCCCAGGCAACUUUUGGCUGCUGUGGGCAUGUGGGAGAGUGAACCAGGGUGAAUGGGAGCUCUUUCAAGUAAAUUUUUUUAAAUGUUCAUUUUAUAGAGUUACUCCUGUAGAAUUUGAAAUUAAGGAAAAUUCUGUUCAUUCCUCUGUUCCCUGAAGGAGAAUAGCGGUAAUAACCCUGUGGAAGUUACAAGUCGUAUGCCAUCUUUCAGAUGACUGCUGAACCCUGUGUGGGACUGAGUGGACCCUGUGAAAGUGACCCAUGGUGACAUCCUUGACACAGGUCACCAAGGCAGGAAGACCUGGCUGCUUCAGCUCUCGUCUGGCUCUGCGAGGUGUGGUCAUCUCCACCUCUUACUCAUGAACAUAUUUAAGGUGAAGCCCAGCAUCUACAAGGGAACUGCAAAAAAUCUGAAAAAAUGGGAUGGAAAGGGAUGACUCAAGGAUCUUUAGAGAGAAUGCUGUUGCACGGAUCCUGCCCCUUGGAGCUCCUGGUUGAAUCGAUCUAGGAUGAUGCAUGGAGUUCAGCCGUUUGUCGGACGCUCCCAGGGUCAUUGCAAUACGUGGCCAAAGGCAGAGUGGACAGUGAGAGAGAGACAGAGAGAAAGGUCUUCCUUUUGCCGCUGGUUCACCCUCCAAUGGCCGCCGCGGUAGGCGCGCUGUGGCCGGCGCAGCGCGCUGAUCCGAUGGCAGGAGCCAGGUGCUUCUCCUGGUCUCCCAUGGGGUGCAGGGCCCAAGCACUUGGGCCAUCCUCCACUGCACUCUCGGGCCACAGCAGAGAGCUGGCCUGGAAGAGGGGCAACCGGGACAGGAUCGGUGCCCCGACCAGGACUAGAACCCGGUGUGCCAGCGCCGCAAGGCGGAGGAUUAGCCUAGUGAGCUGCGGUGCCGGCCUGAACCCUUCUUGAAAAAUAAAGUCCACAUGGAUAGACAUCAGACAACAAAGAAAUGACUCACAAACUAAACAGGAGUGAAGGCUUGGCAGGAUAUUCGUGCUCUGCUCAGAUUCCAGAUCGCUACGCUGCAGUCAGGACGAUGUCUGCAGGCAGAGUGCCAGGGCCAUCAUGGGGCUCCCUCUAAGGUGUCCCUGCUUCAGGGAUCGAUUGCAGACUUGCGCUGCUCAUGCUCCGACGUCUGCGAGCUCUCGCCUCAUGUUCCCUCCAGUUUUGCAGUGCCCAGGACAGAGUCUCUGUGAACACUCAUCACCGUGAGAGCCCUGGCACCGUUCCGCCACCACCUACGCCUGCAGAUAGUGGACAAACCCCACUCUGCAUCCCCGUGUGAACACCAGGCUCCUUUGCCACGGUCUCCUGAGGAUGUCCACAGCUUGCUGCUCUUCAUUGCUUGGCAUAAAGCCUCUCAUCGUGGCCCUCUUCCAUGAGUUCUCCAUGUUGCCAGCAACAAGGCUUCCUGAUGGGCUCACCUAAUGCUUUCAUUUCCACGCUUACCUCCCACCCCCAUGGCUCUCAGCAUCAGGUCCAGCUCCUGACCACGGCAGAGGCUUCGAAAAUAUUCGAGAUGUGCUUCCGGAAGUCAUGGGACUGGCUGAAGAGCGCAGCUGCUCAGCGUUCCCCCAGGUCACACUUCUGUCCCCACCCUCGCAGGACGUGGCACUGGCACAGGAUGCCUGGGCAGCGGACAGAGUCCAGGCCUGCCGCAGCCGGCACCACGCUGCUUGCCCUUCUGUACGGUGAGGAGCGUGGUCCACUGUCCUCUACCUUCCCUGUGUCCCAGUGACGGGGACAUCAGCCUGUCCAGCGACAGACCACACCUAAAACGUGGGCUCUCCUCAGAGCUGUCACUGCCCUGGUCCUCCGACGUCCAGCACCUAGAUGUUAUACGUCAUUUGAGUGCCCAGCAGUGACAAGGCAGGGUACAAGCAGGUUACUUCAUGGAAAACUACUUCGGUUCUGCUCUGUGAUCCCUUAAAUAUUUGGCAAACAGCAUGGAGCAAAGGGUGAGUUCCAGAAUAAAAAGAAAUCCGAAUGACUCUGCCUAGUGAUGCAGUGCUCGGACAGGUUCACAGACGUCAGUGCGAGCGGGUUCUCGUGGGGUCGCUGCGAUGGCGGAGCGCCCCACGACACGACGUGCGCAGCUGUACAUCAGCAAUGCAUGGACGGAGUCUGGCAGCGUGCACUCAGAAUCACACAGUACGUAAUGUAACUAAGUCACAGGAUAAAGUGAUACAAAAAUAUUACAACAUGGACAUUUACACGCUUCAUCAAUGAAAUGGAAUAAAUUAAACUAAGCCAGUCACAUGUUUAUUUAUGUGUUCACACAGAAUAAUACUUCUCCAUUGCUCUCAGAACGCUACACGUAAACCUGAAGGCUUUGCUUUACAGCUGCUGGCAGGAAAGGUCAACACUGUGGGUGUGUGCCGACGCAGCCUCUCCGAGCUUCCGCGGCACUGCACAGGUGUGGCUCCGAGUGGGACGCAGUGUAGGAGAGCAAAGACACAGAUCCUCCGUUCAUCACUGGCGCAAAGCAAAGAAGGGAUCUCACCGUCCGCGGUACCUCUGUUCUCCCGACAGCCAGCGUUAUACAUAGAUGCCUUCGGGAUUAAAGCCGGCCGAGAUGGGGUUCUGCAGGAUCCGAAGAUUACUGGGCAGCUGCCGUGAGGAGCCAGGGCGCUUCAGGGACCCCGACUGCAGCGGUGGUUCUAGACAGCAAACAGAGAGUCACUGGGUGAACGCGGCUCCCCCGCGGCGCUCAGCAGCCAGAGAACUGGGAGCGUUUCCCCAGAGGGCGCCCGUACUGCCCUGGGCUGGAGAAGGUUAACCAGUGCAAACGCAGAGGCAAAUGCACGCUCAGCAACUUCUUACCUCUUUCCACGUCUGCGUGGGACGCCUCUAUCUCGAUGG